UACGAAGGGGGCUAGCGUUGCUCGGAAUCACUGGGCGUAAAGCGCACGUAGGCGGACUCUUAAGUCGGUGGUGAAAUCCUGGAGCUCAACUCCAGAACUGCCUUCGAUACUGAGAGUCUCGAGUCCGGGAGAGGUGAGUGGAACUGCGAGUGUAGAGGUGAAAUUCGUAGAUAUUCGCAAGAACACCAGUGGCGAAGGCGGCUCACUGGCCCGGUACUGACGCUGAGGUGCGAAAGCGUGGGGAGCGAUCCGG
rnacentral:rRNA from 1 species